CCACAAUUGUCUCUCAUUCUAGAUCGAGCAAGCUCGUGCCCAUCCCAAAAUUCCAAUUAUCCUCAUAAAACUCAGUUGAAAGCGUUGGUGGAACCUCAACAAAUCGCGACAAAGACAAGCAAAAAGUUGUCUAGUUCGACGAGUAAAAGUGAGCUACAGGUAAGUGCAUUUGUAUGUUGUGUUUUAGCAUGUAAACUUUGGCUUUUCCUUGUGCAAAUCAUUGAAUUCUUUCUUGAAUUUUUGGAUAUGCAUGUUGUGCAAAGUUGAAGGUGCCAAAUAUGUGUGAGUGAAUUGUGCAUUAAAGGUUGAAUGUGUGAACAUUGGGAGCUAUUGAACUAAAUAAGUAUGUAUAUAGGAUAUAUAUAUAUAUGU